rnacentral:lncRNA from 1 species
AGGAUGCGACGUCAACGGGAGCGCAGGGCCAAGAUACCCUUUAUAUCAAACCGUCUAUCCUGGAGCAGAAAAAUCCUGUCUUCAUUGCUAUAGCUACAGAUUCAGAAAUGAGCAUGUAACAAAUUCAGGCCAAAGAGAGAUGGAGGAAGAGGCCAGGAGCUAAGGAAUCCAGGCCAUCUCUAGAAGAUGGAAAAGACAAGGAAGCAGAGUCAUCCCUAGAGGGAUCCAGAGGGAACAUGGCCCUGCUGACAACUUAAUUUCAGUCGAGUGAAACUUAUUUGGGACUUCUGACUUCAGAACUGUAAAAUUAUAAAUUUGUCUUGUCUUAAACCACUAAAUAGAUUUGUUACAGAGAAAAUAGGAAACUAAUUCACCGUCCAACAGCACAUUUUGUUCAAUCUGAUAUCAUUUUGGUUAAAAAUGUUUUUCACAGGAAAAAAUACUGGGAGAAUAUACAUUGAAGGAUGUAUAAUAUUUAUUACUGGGUAAGAUUUUGCUCAUGUCGUUUUCUAGAUUAUCUAUAAUAAAUGUAUUUUUCUACAACAAAUAAAUUUGUAAAGAAGGAAGUGAAUGGUUUCCAUGAACUUUGGUCAAAAUACUCAAAAGUAAUGAUGGAAUAUAUGUACUCUAUAUCUUUUCUAAAGGAAAACUGAGAGAACACUAUUAAUUAUCAUGAUAGAAUAAUCCUUUAGAGAGAGAACAUGAGAUCAGAUUAGCUCAAAUGGAUGAAAUAGCAACACGGUACAUGCUGAAUUAAGUUAUUUAUAAACAUUGUUUAUUUAGAUUGUUCCUGUAUUGAUGGUGGUAUUCACUUUGUUGUCAUUCUCUCUUUUCUUUUUUCACUGUUAACAAUGCUACGAUAAAUAUCCUUGCACUGAGAUCUUUAUCUACUCUCUCC